CCUACGGGGGGCAGCAGUGGGGAAUAUUGCACAAUGGGGGAAACCCUGAUGCAGCGACGCCGCGUGAGCGAAGAAGUAUUUCGGUAUGUAAAGCUCUAUCAGCAGGGAAGAAAGAAAUGACGGUACCUGACUAAGAAGCCCCGGCUAACUACGUGCCAGCAGCCGCGGUAAUACGUAGGGGGCAAGCGUUAUCCGGAUUUACUGGGUGUAAAGGGAGCGUAGACGGUUACGCAAGUCUGAAGUGAAGGGCGGGGGCCCAACCCCCGGACUGCUUUGGAAACUGUGAAACUGGAGUGCAGGAGAGG
rnacentral:rRNA from 1 species